rnacentral:lncRNA from 1 species
CUCAGUUAUCAGUGCUUCGGUACUGACAUGAUUUUGACGAUAUCAUUCUGGAAUUGUUCGUUUAUAGUUUGAAAAAUUAUUAUGAAUCUAAUAUGUUCAUGUAAUAUAUAAUCACACCUUCAGGCAAUACUGACCUUAGAUGGUUUUGGCUAUUAUUUCAGUUUCCUUUUGGUCAUAAAGAUAUUCUCGUGAAUUGACAAUUCAUAAAGUGUUAUUUUAAUUGUUUUACAGUUGCAGAGAGAUGACAGUCCAUAAUAUUCAAUUUAUCAGAUCAAAUUUAUUCGUUCAUAGUGUAUUAAUGUACGUUUUUGAUUGAGUUAAGCCUGCCAAUUGAUAUUUUAUCGUGUGUUUUUCUAUGUUGUGAUGUUAUGCUGUUGUUUCAGAAAAAAGGAGAAGGUUUGGAUCCAUUAAAACGUUUAAUCCCGCUGCAAAAUGUUUGCACCUGUCCUAAGUCAGGAAUCUGAUGUACAGUAGUUGUCGUUUGUUUGUGUAAUUUAUACGUGUUUCUCGUUUCUCGUUUUUUUUUUUUUGUUUUUUUUUUUUAUUUCAUAUAGAUUAGACCGUUGGUUUUCCCGUUUGAAUGGUUUUACACUAGUAAUUUUGGGGCCCUUUAUAGCUUGUUGUUCGGUGUGAGCCAAGGCUCCGUGUUGAAGGCCGUACAUUGACCUAUAAUGGUUUACUUUUUUAAAAUUGUUAUUUGGAUGGAUAGUUGUCUCAUUGGCACUCACACCACAUCUGUCUAUAUCUAUAAACCAGUGAUGUAUUCGAAUGUGGAUUUAUUCGAUUCUUAAAUAUAC